rnacentral:rRNA from 1 species
CACGUAGGGCGCAAGCGUUGUCCGGAAUUAUUGGGCGUAAAGAGCUCGUAGGUGGUUUGUUACGUCCGCUGUGAAAUCCUAGGGCUUAACCCUGGGCUUGCAGUGGAUACGGGCAGACUAGAGGUAGGUAGGGGAGAAUGGAAUUCCUGGUGUAGCGGUGAAAUGCGCAGAUAUCAGGAGGAACACCGGUGGCGAAGGCGGCAUCCUGGACCGAUACUGACGCUGAGGAGCGAAAGCCAGGGGAGCAAACGGG